rnacentral:lncRNA from 1 species
UUUCAUCUCUCAAAACUCUCUCAAACCUCUUGAACCUUAGCUUAUAUCAUUGUUACCUACCUCAAGCUCACCGGAGAUCAUGGCCAUUCUGGUCAUGAUACCCUCAUACUCACCCUCAAUUAUUCCUGUGUGCUCAAUAUUUGAAGAACCAAGGCCUUGACCUUGAUGGCUCCCUCUAAGAUCUUCUCAGAUAUGUGGAUCUAUGGCUUCUCCGGCAUUAUUACGACAUAUUCAAGUAAAAUGUGUCUUCUCGACUCAAGAUCGGAC